GGUUAAGCGACUAAGCGUACACGGUGGAUGCCCUGGCAGUCAGAGGCGAUGAAGGACGUGCUAAUCUGCGAUAAGCGUCGGUAAGGUGAUAUGAACCGUUAUAACCGGCGAUUUCCGAAUGGGGAAACCCAGUGUGUUUCGACACACUAUCAUUAACUGAAUCCAUAGGUUAAUGAGGCGAACCGGGGGAACUGAAACAUCUAAGUACCCCGAGGAAAAGAAAUCAACCGAGAUUCCCCCAGUAGCGGCGAGCGAACGGGGAGCAGCCCAGAGCCUGAAUCAGUGUGUGUGUUAGUGGAAGCGUCUGGAAAGGCGCGCGAUACAGGGUGACAGCCCCGUACACAAAAAUGCACAUGCUGUGAGCUCGAUGAGUAGGGCGGGACACGUGGUAUCCUGUCUGAAUAUGGGGGGACCAUCCUCCAAGGCUAAAUACUCCUGACUGACCGAUAGUGAACCAGUACCGUGAGGGAAAGGCGAAAAGAACCCCGGCGAGGGGAGUGAAAAAGAACCUGAAACCGUGUACGUACAAGCAGUGGGAGCCUCUUUAUGGGGUGACUGCGUACCUUUUGUAUAAUGGGUCAGCGACUUAUAUUCUGUAGCAAGGUUAACCGAAUAGGGGAGCCGAAGGGAAACCGAGUCUUAACUGGGCGUUAAGUUGCAGGGUAUAGACCCGAAACCCGGUGAUCUAGCCAUGGGCAGGUUGAAGGUUGGGUAACACUAACUGGAGGACCGAACCGACUAAUGUUGAAAAAUUAGCGGAUGACUUGUGGCUGGGGGUGAAAGGCCAAUCAAACCGGGAGAUAGCUGGUUCUCCCCGAAAGCUAUUUAGGUAGCGCCUCGUGAAUUCAUCUCCGGGGGUAGAGCACUGUUUCGGCAAGGGGGUCAUCCCGACUUACCAACCCGAUGCAAACUGCGAAUACCGGAGAAUGUUAUCACGGGAGACACACGGCGGGUGCUAACGUCCGUCGUGAAGAGGGAAACAACCCAGACCGCCAGCUAAGGUCCCAAAGUCAUGGUUAAGUGGGAAACGAUGUGGGAAGGCCCAGACAGCCAGGAUGUUGGCUUAGAAGCAGCCAUCAUUUAAAGAAAGCGUAAUAGCUCACUGGUCGAGUCGGCCUGCGCGGAAGAUGUAACGGGGCUAAACCAUGCACCGAAGCUGCGGCAGCGACGCUUAUGCGUUGUUGGGUAGGGGAGCGUUCUGUAAGCCUGUGAAGGUGUGCUGUGAGGCAUGCUGGAGGUAUCAGAAGUGCGAAUGCUGACAUAAGUAACGAUAAAGCGGGUGAAAAGCCCGCUCGCCGGAAGACCAAGGGUUCCUGUCCAACGUUAAUCGGGGCAGGGUGAGUCGACCCCUAAGGCGAGGCCGAAAGGCGUAGUCGAUGGGAAACAGGUUAAUAUUCCUGUACUUGGUGUUACUGCGAAGGGGGGACGGAGAAGGCUAUGUUGGCCGGGCGACGGUUGUCCCGGUUUAAGCGUGUAGGCUGGUUUUCCAGGCAAAUCCGGAAAAUCAAGGCUGAGGCGUGAUGACGAGGCACUACGGUGCUGAAGCAACAAAUGCCCUGCUUCCAGGAAAAGCCUCUAAGCAUCAGGUAACAUCAAAUCGUACCCCAAACCGACACAGGUGGUCAGGUAGAGAAUACCAAGGCGCUUGAGAGAACUCGGGUGAAGGAACUAGGCAAAAUGGUGCCGUAACUUCGGGAGAAGGCACGCUGAUAUGUAGGUGAGGUCCCUUGCGGAUGGAGCUGAAAUCAGUCGAAGAUACCAGCUGGCUGCAACUGUUUAUUAAAAACACAGCACUGUGCAAACACGAAAGUGGACGUAUACGGUGUGACGCCUGCCCGGUGCCGGAAGGUUAAUUGAUGGGGUCAGCGCAAGCGAAGCUCUUGAUCGAAGCCCCGGUAAACGGCGGCCGUAACUAUAACGGUCCUAAGGUAGCGAAAUUCCUUGUCGGGUAAGUUCCGACCUGCACGAAUGGCGUAAUGAUGGCCAGGCUGUCUCCACCCGAGACUCAGUGAAAUUGAACUCGCUGUGAAGAUGCAGUGUACCCGCGGCAAGACGGAAAGACCCCGUGAACCUUUACUAUAGCUUGACACUGAACAUUGAGCCUUGAUGUGUAGGAUAGGUGGGAGGCUUAGAAGUGUGGACGCCAGUCUGCAUGGAGCCGACCUUGAAAUACCACCCUUUAAUGUUUGAUGUUCUAACGUUGACCCGUAAUCCGGGUUGCGGACAGUGUCUGGUGGGUAGUUUGACUGGGGCGGUCUCCUCCUAAAGAGUAACGGAGGAGCACGAAGGUUGGCUAAUCCUGGUCGGACAUCAGGAGGUUAGUGCAAUGGCAUAAGCCAGCUUGACUGCGAGCGUGACGGCGCGAGCAGGUGCGAAAGCAGGUCAUAGUGAUCCGGUGGUUCUGAAUGGAAGGGCCAUCGCUCAACGGAUAAAAGGUACUCCGGGGAUAACAGGCUGAUACCGCCCAAGAGUUCAUAUCGACGGCGGUGUUUGGCACCUCGAUGUCGGCUCAUCACAUCCUGGGGCUGAAGUAGGUCCCAAGGGUAUGGCUGUUCGCCAUUUAAAGUGGUACGCGAGCUGGGUUUAGAACGUCGUGAGACAGUUCGGUCCCUAUCUGCCGUGGGCGCUGGAGAACUGAGGGGGGCUGCUCCUAGUACGAGAGGACCGGAGUGGACGCAUCACUGGUGUUCGGGUUGUCAUGCCAAUGGCACUGCCCGGUAGCUAAAUGCGGAAGAGAUAAGUGCUGAAAGCAUCUAAGCACGAAACUUGCCCCGAGAUGAGUUCUCCCUGACUCCUUGAGAGUCCUGAAGGAACGUUGAAGACGACGACGUUGAUAGGCCGGGUGUGUAAGCGCAGCGAUGCGUUGAGCUAACCGGUACUAAUGAACCGUGAGGCUUAACCUU
rnacentral:rRNA from 1 species